UGCGGGGCCGGAGGGCGCGGGACCGAGGAGCGGGACCCCUGGGCGCCGGGAAGCCGCGGGGGGCGCGGGGCGCGUUUGGCUGCGGGCGCAGAGCCGCUCUGGGGGUUUGAAUGGGAUCAGGAGCGGGGACGGGGUGUUGGGGCUCCCUGAGCCCCGCCAGACUGAGGAGCGGCUUGCAGGCCGGGGUGGAAAAGGUGAAGGGGUGGAGGUGCGGGAAGGCGGGGUCACUGAGGACACGUAGUUUGGCGGAAGGGGGCCUGGGAAGCCAGGGGCCUGGGGAGCGCUCCUUCCACUCCCCUCCAAACUGUCCUUUGUUGCUCUGGAGCGGAUGGUCCCAGCCCUGCAAGAAGGCAGCCUUCAUGCAGCCUACCCUGGAGCUAGCCCUUGAAGGGACAUAUGGUCCAUCACAACCUUGACCUCUAGCAGAAUGGAGCUUCCUGUUCCCCAGAGUUCUGGUCAAAGGCAGCAUCUACUUGUUUGACA